rnacentral:rRNA from 2 species
UGAUGGAGCAACGCCGCGUGAGUGAAGAAGGGUUUCGGCUCGUAAAACUCUGUUGUUAAAGAAGAACAUAUCUGAGAGUAACUGUUCAGGUAUUGACGGUAUUUAACCAGAAAGCCACGGCUAACUACGUGCCAGCAGCCGCGGUAAUACGUAGGUGGCAAGCGUUGUCCGGAUUUAUUGGGCGUAAAGCGAGCGCAGGCGGUUUUUUAAGUCUGAUGUGAAAGCCUUCGGCUCAACCGAAGAAGUGCAUCGGAAACUGGGAAACUUGAGUGCAGAAGAGGACAGUGGAACUCCAUGUGUAGCGGUGAAAUGCGUAGAUAUAUGGAAGAACACCAGUGGCGAAGGCGGCUGUCUGGUCUGUAACUGACGCUGAGGCUCGAAAGUAUGGGUAGCAAACAGGAUUAGAUACCCUGGUAGUCCAUACCGUAAACGAUGAAUGCUAAGUGUUGGAGGGUUUCCGCCCUUCAGUGCUGCAGCUAACGCAUUAAGCAUUCCGCCUGGGGAGUACGGCCGCAAGGCUGAAACUCAAAGGAAUUGACGGGGGCCCGCACAAGCGGUGGAGCAUGUGGUUUAAUUCGAAGCUACGCGAAGAACCUUACCAGGUCUUGACAUACUAUGCAAAUCUAAGAGAUUAGACGUUCCCUUCGGGGACAUGGAUACAGGUGGUGCAUGGUUGUCGUCAGCUCGUGUCGUGAGAUGUUGGGUUAAGUCCCGCAACGAGCGCAACCCUUAUUAUCAGUUGCCAGCAUUAAGUUGGGCACUCUGGUGAGACUGCCGGUGACAAACCGGAGGAAGGUGGGGAUGACGUCAAAUCAUCAUGCCCCUUAUGACCUGGGCUACACACGUGCUACAAUGGAUGGUACAACGAGUUGCGAACUCGCGAGAGUAAGCUAAUCUCUUAAAGCCAUUCUCAGUUCGGAUUGUAGGCUGCAACUCGCCUACAUGAAGUCGGAAUCGCUAGUAAUCGCGGAUCAGCAUGCCGCGGUGAAUACGUUCCCGGGCCUUGUACACACCGCCCGUCACACCAUGAGAGUUUGUAACACCCAAAGUCGGUGGGGUAACCUUUUAGGAACCAGCCGCCUAAGUGGGACAGAUGAUUAGGGUGAAGUCGUAACAAAGGUAACCGAUCCAGA